UCUUUUUAUUUCUUUCUUCUUUCCCAUAGAUUUUGCCUUGUUUCUCCUUUUUCCAGAUCUCUCCCUUUUCUCUUUGUUUUCUCUUUAAUCUCUUCUUUUCUCUCAGUUUUUCUUCCUUCUCUCUCCUUUUUCUACAAAUCUCUCUGCUUCUUCUCUCUCUCUCUCUAUAUCUUUCUUUCCCCGAUCUUUCUAACUCUUUCUUUGUCUCUUUCUUCUUCCCCAGCAAAUUUUCCCCUCUUUCUCUCCUCUAUUUUUUGUAGAUCUCUCUACUUAUUCUCUCUCUUUUUCUUUCUCUUUCUGUUUCUUUCUUAAUUUUUCAUCCGAUCUUUCUAACUCUUUUUUUUUUUCUCAUUUUUCUUUUUUACAAGUUUAGUGAACCUUGCAAAGAGCAAAGAACAAGAGCUCUCUAUUAAAUCCUUGGAAUCUCCAAACCAGUAGAUCCACAAGGGAAUCCAAAGGUACCGGCAUAGGGAAUUGGAGUCUCUGACCUUUUUUUUAUUUCAUUCUUUUUUUUCUAUUUUUCUUAUUAUAAUGUAAAAAAAUAAUUCAAUUUCCCUAUAUAUUUUUUUUUAUUUCU